AUUGAACGCUGGCGGCAGGCCUAACACAUGCAAGUCGAACGGUAACAGGAAGAAGCUUGCUUCUUUGCUGACGAGUGGCGGACGGGUGAGUAAUGUCUGGGAAACUGCCUGAUGGAGGGGGAUAACUACUGGAAACGGUAGCUAAUACCGCAUAACGUCGCAAGACCAAAGAGGGGGACCUUCGGGCCUCUUGCCAUCGGCUGUGCCCAGAUGGGAUUAGCUAGUAGGUGGGGUAACGGCUCACCUAGGCGACGAUCCCUAGCUGGUCUGAGAGGAUGACCAGCCACACUGGAACUGGGACACGGUCCAGGCUCCUACGGGAGGCAGCAGUGGGGAAUAUUGCACAAUGGGCGCAAGCCUGAUGCAGCCAUGCCGCGUGUAUGAAGAAGGCCUUCGGGUUGUAAAGUACUUUCAGCGGGGAGGAAGGGAGUAAAGUUAAUACCUUUACUCAUUGACGUUACCCGCAGAAGAAGCACCGGCUAACUCCGUG
rnacentral:rRNA from 1 species